GAUGAACGCUAGCGGCAGGCCUAACACAUGCAAGUCGAGGGGCAGCGGGUGUAGCAAUACAUGCCGGCGACCGGCGCACGGGUGAGUAACGCGUAUGCAACCUACCUCUAACUGGGGAAUAGCUCUGAGAAAUCGGAAUUAAUACCCCAUAAUAUUCUUUUGAGGCAUCUCAAAAGAAUUAAAGCUCCGGCGGUUAAAGAUGGGCAUGCGUGCUAUUAGCUAGUUGGUGAGGUAAUGGCUCACCAAGGCUAUGAUGGCUAGGGGGUCUGAAAGGAUGAUCCCCCACAUUGGUACUGAGACACGGACCACACUCCUACGGGAGGCAGCAGUGAGGAAUAUUGGUCAAUGGGCGCAAGCCUGAACCAGCCAUGCCGCGUGGAGGAUGAAGGCCCUAUGGGUCGUAUACUUCUUUUGUACGGGACGAAACCCCCGAUCGUGAUCGGGGCUGACGGUACUGUACGAAUAAGCAUCGGCUAACUCCGUGCCAGCAGCCGCGGUAAUACGGAGGAUGCAAGCGUUAUCCGGAUUCAUUGGGUUUAA
rnacentral:rRNA from 1 species